rnacentral:rRNA from 1 species
UCCGCGCUAGCGAUAGCUAAUUUCCCCGGAAAGAUAUAAAAGUGUCGAGGAAAAGUUUAAUUUAUAAUAUUAAUUAUUAUAUAUGUGCUCCUUUUUUAUUAAUUUUUUUGAGGAUAAGCUCAAAAAAAAGUUAAGAUAUUUUCAGUUAAAAUUACUAUGUGGGCUUAAAAUUGGCCACCCAUAAAAGUUUGUUAUAAAAUAGUAACCUUAAUUUAAAAAAUAAAUAUAUUUUAAUCUAAGUCCUUACGGGGGUAAGAACUCUAACUAAAAUUAAGUUUUAUACCUAUGCUAGAAUGAGUAUUAAAACUUAAUUACAAAAGAAAUACUAUUUUAUUUUCUUCUAAAAAUUUUUUAGGAAAAAAUUAAUUAAUUAGAAGGAAUUCGGCAAGUUUAGUUGCUUCGCCUGUUUAUCAAAAACAUGGCUCUUUGCUUACACAAGUAUAGAGAGUCGAGCCUGCCCAGUGAAUUUUUUUAACGGCCGCGGUACUCUGACCGUGCAAAGGUAGCAUAAUCAUUUGCCUUAUAAUUGAAGGCUAGUAUGAAUGGUUUGACGAGAGCAACACUGUCUCCUUUUUAUUUUCAAGAACUUAACUUUUAGGUGAAGAGGCCUAAAUUCUAUUGAAGGACAAGAAGACCCUGUCGAGCUUAAAAGACAUCAUAGGAGUCCAAUAUAUUUUUAAAUAAAUUUUCUAUUAAGCUUUUUAGUUGGGGCGACUAAGGAACAAAAAAAGCUUCUUUCUAAUAAUAAACAAUCAUGUUUAGAUCCGAUAAUAGCGACUAAAGGAAUUAGUUACCGCAGGGAUAACAGCAUAAUCUCUCUUAAGAGACCUAAUCGAAAGAGGGGGUUGUGACCUCGAUGUUGGACUAGAAUAUCCUAAAGAUGCAGAAGUCUUUAAGG